AUCAGGACCUCAGCUGAAAGCAGACAUUUAACUGACCGAGCCACCCAGGAAUGUAAACACCGUCGCGUCCGCACAGGCGCCGAACCACGUGCAAGAGCGCUCGUGGCACUGUCAUCCCUGAGAAAGAAACAAAUGUUAGUCGGCAGCGGAACAGACGCCUAAGCUGGGGUAUGGUCACAGAAUGGAAGCUGAUAGGACACAAACGAGUCACACCUCUGCACAGCAACACAGAUGAUACACAGAUGAAUAUGCCAAACCUGAUUUUCUGCGAGAAAGACACCAGGCACAAAAGACUGCUUGUAGUUUGAUUUCCAUUUAAUUAAGAUCCCAAACCAGCUGAACUGAAUGACUGUCGGACAUCGGGAGGACGGACAUUGAGGGAGGACGGACAUUGAGGGAGGACGGGGCGCGGUGAGUGACAGAGCGGGGUGAGUAGCAGUCGGCGGACGAUCUGUGCUCCGACCGGCGUGUGCUGCGGGGCCGUUUACUCCGCUCAUUCAGUGAGCUUUACAGUGCUCUUUCGUCACGUUUUGUUAUGAUUUUCUCUUUGUAGGUUAUGUUUCCUGAUUGAAAAAGUUUAAAGAAGGUUGGGAUCUUCUAAGGACUCUGUUUUCCAUGAGAAGAAUUUUCAGCACCAGAAUGAACUUUAAAACCUCCAGUUUGCUUUCUAGGUUCCACACCCAGUGCAGAGCCAAAGGUGGGGCCUGAACUCAUGACCCUGAGAUGAAGACCCGGUCUGAAAUCAAGAGUUGGACGCUCCACCGACUGAGUCCCCCAAAAGCCCCACCGAUAGCCUUUCUCAUCACUGGGAGUAAAGACGGACUUCAUUAGUGUGAGACGAUGGAAUAGCCGUUUGUAAAACACCAUAUAUACCAGGAUAAACUCCAAAUAGAUCAAAGAUUGACAUGUUAAAAAGAACAGAAUAAAAACCCAGAUGAGAAUAGAGGUGAAUUCCUUUGAUUCUUGAAGUGGCAAAGACCCUUCUUAAUAUAUUGCUCAAAAUCCAAAAGCUGUGAAAGAAAAUAUUGACACAUUCAAUUACUGAAAGAUAAGGCCGGGUAGCAACAUUUAUCAAAGUUAAAAGACAAAGGACUAUCUGAGAAAACGCCUGAUACAAAGGGCUCAGUUCUCUGAUACAGACACGGAGCUUCCAAAACCAACGCGAACUAUUGUUUUAUACAUUGUGUAUCACGUACCUGUGGGAGGAGAUGGCCACAGGUCCAGGACAGACUGCUAGGUGAACAGCGGGAGAGAACUUGUAUGCGUUCUCCUGUGAGAAGACAAGGAAGAAAAGUAUGUUCUGUUUCUGUUUCCAUAGACACUGGAAAGGGAACUGGGUGGCCAAGGUCAGUGACGUGGAAGUGGACUUCUCAGUGUGGAUCUCUCCACGUAAUUUUGAUUUUUGUAGCAAACUAUUUAUUUUAAAAUGAAAUAAAAUGGAUGGUGACCAAUUA